GACGAACGCUGGCGGCGUGCUUAACACAUGCAAGUCGAACGGAAAGGCCUGCUUUCCCUUGUGGAUUGCGGGUACUCGAGUGGCGAACGGGUGAGUAACACGUGAGUGAUCUGCCCCCAACUUGGGUAUAAGCCUGGGAAACUGGGUCUAAUUCCCGAUAGGACUGCAGGGUGGUGCCUGUGGUGGAAAACGAUUUUCUAGUGGUUGGGGAUGAGCUCGCGGCCUAUCAGCUUGUUGGUGGGGUAAUGGCCUACCAAGGCGGCGACGGGUAGCCGGCCUGAGAGGGUGGACGGCCACAUUGGGACUGAGAUACGGCCCAGACUCCUACGGGAGGCAGCAGUGGGGAAUAUUGCACAAUGGGCAGAAGCCUGAUGCAGCGACGCCGCGUGGGGAUGACGGCCUUCGGGUUGUAAACUCCUUUCGACCGCGAGGAAGCCACCUGGUUGGAAGGGUGGUGACGGUAGUGGUAGAAGAAGCACCGGCUAACUACGUG
rnacentral:rRNA from 1 species